UACGUAGGGGGCUAGCGUUGUCCGGAUUUAUUGGGCGUAAAGAGCGUGUAGGCGGCCAUACAGGUCAGCUGUGAAAACUCGAGGCUCAACCUCGAGACGUCGGUUGAAACCGUAUGGCUAGAGUCCGGAAGAGGAGAGUGGAAUUCCCGGUGUAGCGGUGAAAUGCGCAGAUAUCGGGAAGAACACCCGUGGCGAAGGCGGCUCUCUGGGACGGUACUGACGCUGAGACGCGAAAGCGUGGGGAGCGAACAGG
rnacentral:rRNA from 1 species